rnacentral:lncRNA from 1 species
GAGGUGCUGGAGAAGAGCUUGAAGGAAAUGCUGGUGCUGGAGGUGAGCUUGAGGAUUACAGAAGAGGGGCCUUCAUGGGUGCUGUUGUUGUGGAAAGAUUGGUGGUGCUGAAGAAGGAAGGAUUGGAGAGAAGCAUUUGCCAUGGCAGGCAGAGAGAGGGGGGCCUGAGAACGAACGGAAGAGGGGAAGGAGAGGGAGGGAAACGAUGAUAAGGGAGUGGAUGGGGUUUAGUGGCAGGAUUGUACUUGGUGGUGGUGUGGAGACUCCAGGGUAUGUU